UUUGCAUAUCAAUAAGCGGAGGAAAAGAAACCAACAGGGAUUGCCCUCAGUAACGGCGAGUGAAGCGGCAACAGCUCAAAUUUGAAAAUCUGGCUUCGGCCCGAGUUGUAAUUUGCAGAGGACGUUUCUGGCAAGGUGCCUUCUGAGUCCACUGGAACGUGGCGCCACAGAGGGUGAGAGCCCCGUCUAGUUGGACACCGCGCCUGUGUGAAACCCCUUCGACGAGUCGAGCAGUUUGGGAAUGCUGCUCUAAAUGGGAGGUAAAUUCCUUCUAAAGCUAAAUACUGGCCCGAGACCGAUAGCGCACAAGUAGAGUGAUCGAAAGAUGAAAAGCACUUUGAAAAGAGAGUUAAAUAGCACGUGAAAUUGUUGAAAGGGAAGGAUUUGUGACCAGACUUGCGCCGUGCGGAUCUCCCGGUGUUCUCACCGGUGCACUCCGCGCGGUUCAGGCCAGCAUCGGUUUCCAGCGGGGGACAAAAGCGGUGGGAACGUAGCUCCUUUGCGAGUGUUAUAGCCCGCCGCACAAUGCCCCGCCAGGGACCGAGGCCCGCGUUCUCACGGAUGCUGCCAAACGGGAAUUCAAUCACCCGUCUUGAAAACACGGACCCAAUU
rnacentral:rRNA from 1 species